rnacentral:rRNA from 1 species
UACGUAGGGUGCGAGCGUUGUCCGGAAUUACUGGGCGUAAAGAGCUCGUAGGUGGUUUGUCGCGUUGUUCGUGAAAUCUCACGGCUUAACUGUGAGCGUGCGGGCGAUACGGGCAGACUGGAGUACUGCAGGGGAGACUGGAAUUCCUGGUGUAGCGGUGGAAUGCGCAGAUAUCAGGAGGAACACCGGUGGCGAAGGCGGGGUCUCUGGGCAGUAACUGACGCUGAGGAGCGAAAGCAUGGGGAGCGAACAGG